rnacentral:rRNA from 1 species
UACAGAGGGUGCGAGCGUUAAUCGGAAUUACUGGGCGUAAAGCGCGCGUAGGCGGCUUUGCAAGUCGGGUGUGAAAUCCCCAGGCUUAACCUGGGAACUGCAUUCGAGACUGCAUUGCUAGAGUAUGGGAGAGGGAAGUGGAAUUUCCGGUGUAGCGGUGAAAUGCGUAGAUAUCGGAAGGAACAUCAGUGGCGAAAGCGGUUCUCUGGGCCGGUACUGACGCUGAGGAGCGAAAGCGUGGGGAGCAAACAGG